rnacentral:rRNA from 1 species
AACGCGAAGAACCUUACCUGGGCUCGAAGUGCUACGGACCAGCUUAUGAAAGUAGGCCUUCCCUUAAAAGACCGUAGUAUAGGUGCUGCAUGGCUGUCGUCAGCUCGUGUCGUGAGAUGUUGGGUUAAGUCCCGCAACGAGCGCAACCCUUGUCCUGUGUUGCCAUACCGAAAGGUGGAACUCGCAGGAGACCGCCAGGGAUAACCUGGAGGAAGGUGGGGAUGACGUCAAGUCCUCAUGGCCUUUAUGUCCAGGGCUACACACGUGCUACAAUGGACGGUACAAAGGGCUGCCAACCCGCGAGGGGGAGCCAAUCCCAAAAAACCGUUCUCAGUUCGGAUUGCAGGCUGCAACUCGCCUGCAUGAAGCUGGAAUCGCUAGUAAUGGCGGAUCAGAACGCCGCCGUGAAUACGUUCCCGGGCCUUGUA